GGAGGAAGAGCUUGCUCUUCCAAAGUUAGUGGCGGACGGGUGAGUAACACGUGGGCAACCUGCCUGUAAGUUGGGGAUAACUCCGGGAAACCGGGGCUAAUACCGAAUGAUAAAGUGUGGCGCAUGCCACGCUUUUGAAAGAUGGUUUCGGCUAUCGCUUACAGAUGGGCCCGCGGUGCAUUAGCUAGUUGGUAGGGUAAUGGCCUACCAAGGCAACGAUGCAUAGCCGACCUGAGAGGGUGAUCGGCCACACUGGGACUGAGACACGGCCCAGACUCCUACGGGAGGCAGCAGUAGGGAAUCUUCCGCAAUGGACGAAAGUCUGACGGAGCAACGCCGCGUGUAUGAAGAAGGUUUUCGGAUCGUAAAGUACUGUUGUUAGAGAAGAACAAGGAUAAGAGUAACUGCUUGUCCCUUGACGGUAUCUAACCAGAAAGCCACGGCUAACUACGUGCCAGCAGCCGCGGUAAUACGUAGGUGGCAAGCGUUGUCCGGAUUUAUUGGGCGUAAAGCGCGCGCAGGCGGUCUUUUAAGUCUGAUGUGAAAGCCCCCGGCUUAACCGGGGAGGG
rnacentral:rRNA from 1 species